UAGACCAGUGGUGACUACUGGUGGCAUAUAAGUCAUAGACAUGAAUAAUAUGUGUCUGGAAGUCUGAGGUCCAA
ensembl:snoRNA